AGUGAACGCUGGCGGUAUGCCUAACACAUGCAAGUCGAACGGCAGCACAGUAAGAUUGUUCUCUUACGGUUGGCGACUGGCGGACGGGUGAGGAAUACAUCGGAAUCUACUUUUUCGUGGGGGAUAACGGAGGGAAACUUACGCUAAUACCUCAUACGACCUACGGGUUGAAUUAAGGGAUCUUCGCACCUUUCCUGAUUGUAUUAGCCGAUGUCGGAUUAGCUAGUUGGCUGGGUAAGGGCCCACCAAGGCAACGAUCCGUAGCUGGUCUGAGAGGAUGAUCAGCCACACUGGAACUGAGACACGGUCCAGACUCCUACGGGAGGCAGCAGUGGGGAAUAUUCGACAAUGGGCGAAAGCCUGAUGGAGCAAUACCGCGUGGGUGAAGAAGGUCUUCGGGUUGUAAAGCUCUUUUGUUGGGAAAGAAAAGAAGCAGAUUAAUACCUCGAUGUUCUGACGGUACCCAAAGAAUAAGCAACGGCUAACUUCGUG
rnacentral:rRNA from 1 species